GCCCUUGCAAGCCUUUACGUCCUGCCAAAUACGCAUCCCUUAAUUUCAAAGCUGCCAAAGGAGAAAGCAUAUGGAAGGAACCUGCAUGAGAGCUCAACAUUGAACCAACACAAUGAAAGAAGACCCAGAGUGGAAGACAGAGAAGGUCUACAGAUCUUAAAGUCUGUGAAGACUAAAGGCACUGUAAUGCACACCUUGUUUGUUCACAUGACACUCUUAGACCCAACUUAAUCCCACUGACUUCCACCAAAAUAAGCAGCCAAGAAACUGAAAACAGGACCCAAAAGCAGCCAAGUCAUGUUCCAAGAGUGGUUAUUAACAUCCCAUCUGUCCCUGACUCCCUUUGCCAAGAGUGAGUGUGCCACUCAUGGCCAAAGAUGGGAGACGAGGAGAAACCCAGUGGGUUCCAUUUCCUUCUUUGUUGAUCAUACCCAAUAAAUAAGCCUCUCUUCCAUUUUUUAAGGACAUGACGUUAAAAGUAUAAAGUUUCAUGAAAAUGAGAGAAAGAAUUCAGGAAGUUUUGCAUAUGCUAAUUUAAGAAGAAUUUCUGCAACUCUGGCCUUGAUGGGACUACAGUAUCAGCCAUUUCACUUCCAUGUGUCCCAGGAGAUAACAAUAGGAACAAGUCUAUAUACCAUGUCUGAGUAGAGAUUCUUUUUAAAAAUAGUCCUGUGCCCAAGUGAAUUUUUAAGACAUGGAUUAAAGGAGGAAAAUAAAACACAAGGCAAAACAGGAGAGGAAAGUGUACCACCUGGAACUGUGUCAUAAAAUAUCAAUGAUUCAGCUGGCGUAGCUACCCUGCCAACAACGAUGCCUUUAAAAAUGCUUGGAAUGUAAUUUGUGUUUAAUUUUAAAUACAACUGAUUAGAAGUGUAUGUAUAUUUUAUUUACCAACAAGGCCAAAUUGCUCACUAGUGUGAGCUGUGUUUCUGCCCAAGCUGUGCAGGUGCCAAAAUCUAUAUUAAAAAAGGUCCGUAAUUCAGAAGGGAACAUGGGAAUUUUCCAUUUGACAGCUCUCAUCUUGGUUAAUUAGAUGGCAUUAAGAAGAAAAAGGUUGGCUAUGUUAUCUAGAAGAAAGUAUUAUUAGAGAUGGCAUUAUAUCCUAAAAACAUUUAAUACCCUGUGUUCUGGUCUCUAACAUGCCAUCUGGAGCAGUUACUUGGGGAAAAUUAUAGCAAAUUGAUAGAAAUAUACAAAAUUGCCUCACUUAAUUCCUUAAUGAAUAUAAAAGUUCUCUUGAUGAAAAAUAGCAUUUCAAGUGUCAUUUGUGAAUCAUGAUUUGAGGACAACAAUUAUAGAUGAUAGUCACAAGAUGUUUCUUUCAUUAGAAUCACUAUCACAUCUGUACUAUUAGAAGUCAAGUAACUUCUCAAAGACCCAUUUUUUUUUUCUUUUUCUUUUUUGUAAAACAGGGAUAACAACUUUUAAAUAAAAAACAGCUAAAAAAGUCUUUGGAGAGGAAGAAUUAAAAACUUACACACCUAUUAGAAUGAUCAAAAUCCAGAACACUGACAACAUCAAA